rnacentral:rRNA from 1 species
UACGGGGGGGGGCAAGCGUUGUUCGGAAUUACUGGGCGUAAAGGGCUCGUAGGCGGCCAACUAAGUCGGACGUGAAAUCCUCAGGCUUAACUUGGGAACUGCGUCCGAUACUGGAUGGCUUGAAUCCGGGAGAGGGAUGCGGAAUUCCAGGUGUAGCGGUGAAAUGCGUAGAUAUCUGGAGGAACACCGGUGGCGAAGGCGGCAUCCUGGACCGGUAUUGACGCUGAGUGAGCGAAAGCGUGGGGAGCAAACAGG